rnacentral:rRNA from 1 species
GAUGAACGCUGGCGGCGUGCCUAAUACAUGCAAGUCGAGCGAACAGAUGAGGAGCUUGCUCCUCUGACGUUAGCGGCGGACGGGUGAGUAACACGUGGAUAACCUACCUAUAAGACUGGGAUAACUUCGGGAAACCGGAGCUAAUACCGGAUAAUAUAUUGAACCGCAUGGUUCAAUAGUGAAAGACGGUUUUGCUGUCACUUAUAGAUGGAUCCGCGCGGCAUUAGCUAGUUGGUAAGGUAACGGCUUACCAAGGCAACGAUGCGUAGCCGACCUGAGAGGGUGAUCGGCCACACUGGAACUGAGACGCGGUCCAGACUCCUGCGGGAGGCAGCAGUAGGGAAUCUUCCGCAAUGGGCGAAAGCCUGACGGAGCAACGCCGCGUGAGUGAUGAAGGUCUUCGGAUCGUAAAACUCUGUUAUUAGGGAAGAACAAAUGUGUAAGUAACUAUGCACGUCUUGACGGUACCUAAUCAGAAAGCCACGGCUAACUACGUG